CCAAUAGCGUAUAUUAAAGUUGUUGCAGUUAAAAAGCUCGUAGUUGAAUUUCGGGAUCGAAUUGUCGGUCGUGCUUCGGUACGCACUGGCAUUAUCGGUUCCUACCUUCUGAAGAACCGCGAUGUCAUUAAUUUGGUGUCGUGGGGAAUCAGGACUGUUACUUUGAAAAAAUUAGAGUGUUUAAAGCAGGCUUACGCUUGAAUACAUUAGCAUGGAAUAAUGAAAUAGGACGUUUGAUUCUAUUUUGUUGGUUUCUAGGAUCGACGUAAUGAUUAAUAGGGAUAGUUGGGGGCAUUAGUAUUAAAUUGUCAGAGGUGAAAUUCUUGGAUUUAUUGAAGACUACCUACUGCGAAAGCAUUUGCCAAGGAUGUUUUCAUUAAUCAAGAACGAAAGUUAGGGGAUCGAAGACGAUCAGAUACCGUCGUAGUCUUAACCAUAAACUAUGCCGACUAGGGAUCGGAUGAUGUUAAUUUUAUAAUGACUCAUUCGGCGCCUUACG
rnacentral:rRNA from 1 species